GUAACAAUCUAGACGAUUGUAUAGCCUAGAUGUAUAGUCUAGAGAGUCCAGAGCUCAGAGUCAGUUCAAAUAAAACAAACUAAAUUUCUCAAAUACCGUUGCAAACAUAAUCUUAGUAAGGUUAUCUAGACGAUUGUAUAGUCUGGAGAGUCCAGAGCUCAGAGUCAGUUCAAAUAAAACUAUUUAUCUAAAAUGCUCCUAAAUUUUUCAAUUCUUCCCGGACAAACAUCAUCCAGUUGAAUCGAAUCCUAAUGCGAAACCCAAUUCGAAUCGAAUGACUAAAGAUAAUAGUCGCCCAUAAGAUGAUGCUGAAGAUGUUUCUGUUUUCGCUAUCGUUGCCGUCAUAAAUGGACUAUCAGUAGCCGAAUCUCGCCCAACCAUGUCCAGUCGUUUGAUGGUGUUACAUUUCCCUCAAAUUCAGCAUUUCGGCUAUGAUAGCGACUGCAAACGCUUCCAGCUCUCGCGGAUCAUUGAAAACCGCCCUGAUGACAGGAUGAUGUACCGCUGAAUGCCCAUGGAGCCCUGAGAGUAUGAUAUCGUUUCUUCCAAAUUGUUGAGCUCUUCCCGGAUAAGCAUUAUCCAGUUGAAUCGAACCGAAUCGAAUGCCUAAGAUAAUAGUCGCCCAUAAGAAGAAUGUACUGGAGAUGUUGCUGCUGUCAUAAAUGACUAUUAGCAUCAAUACAACCCAUAAAUCGGUUGCUCAUUCGUAAAGAGUCCAAGACCAAGAUAUUUUCGAUCGCUAGCCUUGCCUUCGUCACCUCAAGCCCCUUAACCUCUGCGGCCAACUCUUGCUUCUUGCAGCGGAAUUCUGCCUUCUUUCAUUCUAAAGUACCUUAUGCGCUCAUCAUGGUUAUCGCCGAGGCACAGGCACAUUAAGAGAACAGCUAUAAGGUGUUAAAUACAUACCCAUCCUAUUAGGAAAUACUAUAGGCCAAUUUGUACAAUAGGCAAAUAAUGCAUACAACGAAGUUAUGUAUAUGCAUUAAAUUAUUCUUGAAGACUUUAGGAUUUCUUAACGUCGAAUAAUAAUGAAUUUAAAAUAAAUUGUAAAGUAAUGGGCACCUGA